rnacentral:rRNA from 1 species
AUACGGAGGAUGCAAGCGUUAUCCGGAUUUAUUGGGUUUAAAGGGUGCGUAGGCGGUUUGCUAAGCGGGAGGUGAAAUGCCGGCGCUCAACGUCGGAAGUGCCUCCCGAACUGGUGGACUGGAAUGACUCUGCCGUGGGAGGAAUGUGUAGUGUAGCGGUGAAAUGCUUAGAGAUUACACAGAACACCGAUUGCGAAGGCAUCUCACGAAGGGUUGAUUGACGCUGAGGCACGAAAGCGUAGGGAUCAAACAGGAUUAGAUACCCUGGUAGUCCACGCAGUAAACGAUGAUGGCUAACCGCUGGUUUUUUCGGAUCAGUGGCCAAGCGAAAGCGAUAAGCCAUCCACCUGGGGAGUACGACCGCAAGGUUGAAACUCAAAGGAAUUGACGGGG